GUCUAUGGCCAAGCUAGCCUGAACAAGCCCAAUCCUGUCUGAUCUCGGAAGCUAAGCAGGGUCAGGCUUGGUUAGUAUUUGGAUGGGAGACCAUCCUGGAAGACCAGGUGUUGAAGGUG
ensembl:rRNA 5S_rRNA 5S ribosomal RNA